GAAAUAAUAUGUAACUGCUACUUUUCAGACUACUAAAUACAGAAGAACCUUUAACUGUAAUGGUGAAGAUGGAUAUCAUCAAAAGAUUUGUCUUAGAAACUGUCUUGAAAAGAAGGUGGUUGGUUUAUGUGGAUGUUCUGUUUCAUUUGAUUCUUCUUUACGAGCUAGAUGUCGACUUAACACACCAUAUGAAUUUUUCUGCCAAAGAAGUUUGAAUUAUCUGCAAAAGAAAAACCAGCUUGAAUGUAAAUGUCCAAAACGAUGCAGCGAAACGCAUUAUCAUAUUGACGAUUCAACAGGAGAAUGGCCGUCUCAGUUUCACUCUAUUCACGUUGAAAGAAGUUUGGCCAGCAAAGGAAUAACCAGGAAUUCUGCACAGAUCAAG